AUGAACAAAGAAUGUAAACAUGAUGAUAAUAAAAGUUUAAACACAAAAAGCAUUAAUACGGACCAUAAUCUUAGUACUAGUAACUGCAGUGACAGUAACGAAAACGAUGGAAAUAGUAGUAAUGGAAGUAGUAAUAGUAGCAAUAACAAUAAUAAUAACAGUAGUAGCAAUGGUAAUAGCAAUAGCAAUAACAAUAAUAAUAAUAGUAGUAAUAGCAGUAAUAAUAAUAGUAACAGUAGUAAUAGCAGUAAUAAUAAUAGUAACAGUAGUAAUAAUAAUAAUGAUGGAACUAAUAACAGUAAUAAAGGUAGUAACAACAAUAACAACAACAACAAUAACAACAACAAUAACAACAACAAUAACAACAACAAUAACAACAACAAUAACAACAACAAUAACAACAACAAUAACAACAACAAUAACAACAACAAUAACAACAACAAUAACAACAACAGUAACAACAACAAUAACAACAAUUACAUGAAUCAUUAUUAUGAUAAUAAAAUGAAUAGUAGUUUAAAUUGUAUGCAAAAUAACUUGAUGCGUCAUUCUAAUUUUAAUAACAAUAACAACCUUAUGAAUAGUGGUGUUAAUAAUAGAUUGGGUUGUAAUAACAACAAUAUGGGUGGUUUACAAUCAACGAGAAGAUCAUCUGCAAAUAUCAUAAAAAAUAGAAAUAAUAAUACUAAUGAAAGUAAUGAUAAUACUAUGAAGGGAUUACAUAAUGAUGAAAUAAAAAGAUCAAUAGGAAAUAAUGAAAGAAAUUUAUCUUUCGCUAGAGGAUUUAUGAAUACUAAUAGAGAUAUUACAAGUAGUACUGUUCCUGCACCUUCACCUAACAAUGGUAUUAUGAAUAUUGUUGAGAAAAAUAAAAAAAGAGAUGAUGUACAACAAAAGAAGCAGUCUGAAGAAGCAACCGUAAGUAGCAAAACUGUUGGUAAUAAUGCGGGUGUUGGGUUGGAUGCAAAAAAUAGAAACGUGAGCAGUGUCAGUCAUAUUGGCGGUUCUAAUCGUUCUAUGAUUAAUAAUGAUAGUGUUCUUACUACUACAAGUAAUAAUAUUAGUUCUAGUACUCUUACUGCUAGUGCUAACAAUAAUACCCAGACGUGUAGUAACAAGGUCGAUAUUAGUGGUGAACAACGUGAAAUAUUUAUUUCAGAAUACUUGCCUCAAAUUAAAUAUAUUUUUAAUUUAUCAACAAGCACAAGUAACCUAGAAGAACUAACUUCAAAAAUAGAAAAACUUAAUAUUCCAUCAGAAUAUUAUGAAAUUUUACAAAACAACAUUUUAACCUUAACAUUAAAAGAAUAUGCAUGUAAUAAAAAUGUAGAAAAAAGUGAAAUGUAUUUUAAUUGGUUAGUUUCAAUAGUAUUAUCAAAUAAAAUAGAUAAAGAGUCUUUUAAAAUGUGUUGGAAGUCAUUUAUUUUAGAGAAAGAUGAAAAUUGUUAUGAAUAUGCAAAAGAAGAUUAUCCUUUGUUACCUACUUUGGCUCAAAAUUUUAUCAAAGCAAUUGAGCUCUUUGACACGAAUCACAUGUUGUAUGAUGCGAGCACGAUAAGCGAAAUGAAAAGUGUGAUCUGAUAUGAUUAUGCUAUGUAUGUAUGUUGGCAGCUAGCACCCCCCCCACAAUGGUUGAUAUAUUUGUUUAUAUCGUCUGUUGUGGGUUGGUUAUGGCUUUAAUUGUAAUGACUUUGUUUCGGCUACAACACUAUAACUAAAACAAAACGACAUUUAAAUUUUUUUUUCCUUUUUUUUUAACCAUUUACAUACACAUGUAUGUUAAUAUAUUACGCAUGUAUGUAUGUAUAUAUAUAUAUAUUUUAACCCUUUAUACUUUGAUAUAUUGCACGUAACUAAGUCGAGCAUAUAUAUCUAUGUAUAUACAUUUGUACUAACACCUUUUUGUACUAGUAUCUUUUUUGUACAUUAUUAUUUUUUACUUUUCUAUUUUUUACAUUUCUAUUUUUUACUUUUCUAUUUUUUACAUUUCUAUUUUUUACUUUUCUAUUUUUUUACCUUACAUUAACGUAACGCAACACUAGCGAAAGUAUAUAAAUAAAAACGCAAAUUUAAAAAAAAAUAAAAAUUCG
rnacentral:lncRNA from 1 species